rnacentral:rRNA from 1 species
GACGAACGCUGGCGGCGCGCCUAACACAUGCAAGUCGAACGAGCGAGAGAGAGCUUGCUUUCUUGAGCGAGUGGCGAACGGGUGAGUAACGCGUGAGGAACCUGCCUCAAAGAGGGGGACAACAGUUGGAAACGACUGCUAAUACCGCAUAAGCCCACGACCCGGCAUCGGGUUGAGGGAAAAGGAGCAAUCCGCUUUGAGAUGGCCUCGCGUCCGAUUUGCUAGUUGGUGAGGUAACGGCCCACCAAGGCGACGAUCGGUAGCCGGACUGAGAGGUUGAACGGACACAUUGGGACUGAGACACGGCCCAGACUCCUACGGGAGGCAGCAGUGGGGAAUAUUGCACCAUGGGGGAAACCCUGAUGCAGCGACGACGCGUGGAGGAAGAAGGUCUUCGGAUUGUAAACUCCUGUUGUUGAGGAAGAUAAUGACGGUACUCAACAAGGAAGUGACGGCUAACUACGUG